rnacentral:snoRNA from 1 species
AAUCUAUGCAUUAGACAUUUUCGAAUUAACUUUUUAAAUCGUUCUUAAGCUUCAUAUAAUGUUUCAUCCUUAAUUACCGAAAAGAUGUGAUGUCAUUUCUAAGCUU